AGAUAAAAAGCCAGUUCAUGCUUUUAUAGUAUGAAAAUUGGUGAUUUAUAAUAACUUAGCAAAUCGCAAAGUGAAAACAGGCGAUAAAUCAUUCAAGUUUCUGACCUAUCAGCUUUCGACGGUAUGGUAUUGGCUUACCGUGGCAGUGACGGUUAACGGGGGAUUAGGGUUCGAUUCCGGAGAGGGAGCCUGAGAAACGGCUACCACAUCUAAGGAAGGCAGCAGGCGCGCAAAUUACCCAAUUCUAACAGUUUGAGAGAGGUAGUAACAAGAAAUAACAAUACAAGGCAGUUAAAAUGCUUUGUAAUUGGAAUGAUAGAAAUUUAAACCCUUUUUAAAGUAUCAAUUGGAGGGCAAGUCUGGUGCCAGCAGCCGCGGUAAUUCCAGCUCCAAUAGCGUAUAUUAAAAUUGUUGCAGUUAAAAAGCUCGUAGUUGAAGUUCUGCUGAAAGUAACCGGUCUGCUUUUAAUAAAAGUGGUAUCUUGGUAUGUAUUUAGCAAUGAUGUCCUUUGAAGUGUUUUUUACUUUAUUGUAAUAAAGCAUAUUCAGGACUUUUACUUUGAGAAAAUUAGAGUGUUUCUAGCAGGCUAACGCUUUGAAUACUGCAGCAUGGAAUAAUAAGGA
rnacentral:rRNA from 1 species